rnacentral:rRNA from 1 species
GAUGAACGCUGGCGGCGUGCUUAACACAUGCAAGUCGAACGGAAAGGCCCAAGCUUGCUUGGGUACUCGAGUGGCGAACGGGUGAGUAACACGUGGGUGAUCUGCCCUGCACUUCGGGAUAAGCCUGGGAAACUGGGUCUAAUACCGGAUAGGACCACAUUUUGGAUGGUGUGGUGGAAAGUUUUUCGGUGUGGGAUGAGCUCGCGGCCUAUCAGCUUGUUGGUGGGGUAAUGGCCUACCAAGGCGUCGACGGGUAGCCGGCCUGAGAGGGUGUACGGCCACAUUGGGACUGAGAUACGGCCCAGACUCCUACGGGAGGCAGCAGUGGGGAAUAUUGCAUAAUGGGCGCAAGCCUGAUGCAGCGACGCCGCGUGGGGGAUGACGGCCUUCGGGUUGUAAACUCCUUUCGCUAGGGACGAAGCGCAAGUGACGGUACCUGGAGAAGAAGCACCGGCUAACUACGUG